GGGAUCCCUUCUGAUGGAGUAUUUGGUGAGCCCUGGUCCUUGGGGCAGCCAUAUGCAUUUAUACGUACUUAGAGGACUUCAAACAAUUUUGCUGCUGCUUCUGCUGAUCUCCUCGCUCGCUGCUGAGCCCUUCUUCAAAUGGAAAGGCAUCACAACUCCUCCUCCUCAGAGCGUCGGGCCCCAGUUUUCCUAUCAACCAUUUCAAACCACUUAUCCACUCAGCAGCUUUUUGGAUGGAGAACUCCCUGGAGCCGCACGCUCAUCUCUGAGCACCUGUAAUUUUAAAUUAAAGGAAGGGGAAAAGCUCGUCCUCCUCUGAGACUGCAUCUCCCACCUGCAGCACCAGGGCUGCCUGUGCUCAGUGCUCCUCCCUGCUUUGCUCUGCCUGUGGAUGCAAUGAACAGAAAUGGCACAGAGAGCAAAUCGGGGAGCGAUUGCUGGGUGAUCUCAUUGCAUGGCUUGGAUGGGUUGCAAACUGCUCCGGCUUCUUCUGAUGUCGUUGCACCGGGGCGUUGUAUUUAAGGCAAAAAAGCACAGCUCAGGAAGCAGUGUCUCUGCACAGGGAUAAACAGGAGGCAUUUUUUCCACAUGAGCACGUCUGAUGAGCUCCAGGCCACAUCUGCCUGCUGAUUGCUGGCCUGGGUGGCCGUGGGAUGCAAUGGGACCAGGAAGGUGCCCCUGGAACAGUGAGCAGUGAUGGAGAGCAGAGGAGCACUGUGAGGCCCUGCAGAGAGCACCCAGCCUGGUGGCACAGCAGUUAGGUGGCAGCUGUGCUGAGUAAUGGCUCUGUUGCUGAUCUAUUAUUGAAAGUGAUGGAAUAAUAAUACACUGUAGAGAAAAGCAGCACCGUGACACAGGAGGGUGUGAAGUGACUUGAAAUUAUCUGGUAUAAAUACUCCAGAAGCCCCAACAGGUGAAGUCUGAAUGAGCCAGGAGAGCCCACGGGAGGCAUCUCACAGCAGAACCCUACAGAAAGCAAAAGCUGUUCUGUGUGCUGAGCGUCAGCCGUGGAAAACUAUGUGGUGUGGGUGGCCCUGGGGCACAAAGCAGUGAUGCAGAUAAAUGCCCAGACACGUCGCUGUGAGGAGGGAAUGAAAGGAAGCCUUGUGUUAACGGGCUGGAGGAGAGCCUGUGAGCUCAGGGAUCGUGGGGAGACAGAGUGGGGCUGGAGGGUCUCUGCCAUGAGGGCAAAAGCUGCUCCCUGGGGCUGGAGGGGCACUGAGGCUCUGCUGAGGAUGGGGCUGCAGGUUGUGGCUGGUUUAGGAGAGAAGCUGAGAGCGGGGAUGGAGCGCUCUCACUAUGGAGGGUUUUGUAGACUUCCAGGGCCAGCUGUUCCAUAGGCAGUUCUCCCAGUUAAACCAGCACAGCACCAGCUGGCAUCAGCUUGGGCUGUGUGAUCUCCUCCAGCCUGCAGACUUGGCUCUGCCUCUGGAGAAGCUGGCCUUGAUGGCAAUGGGAUCUCGCUUCAAACUGGGUCUUGCUUUGAGCGAGGGGAUCGACUGGGGGUGUCUCCUGUCCCUUCCUCUGUGGUGCCCUCUGUGUUCCUGGGCGGCCUCCCUGGAGCAAUCCCUGCUGGAGUUGCUGCACUCAUCCAUCCAGAAUGGGAUGGCUUCAAACUCAGGGCUCUGUGGGUUUUUUUUCCACUCUAAAAAUAGUGGUGAUUCAGGAGAAACCCAGAAGCAGAACCCUUCCUCCAUAAAUCACAGGCCCAUAGAAUACCUUGGGUUGGAAGGGACCUCAAAGAUCACCUUGUCCCAACCUUCAGGAGCUCUUCUUUGGAAUGGGACCCACCAGGAUCCUUCACGUGGUCCAAGCAGUGCUCGUGGGGCCAUUGGAACACAGCACAAACAUAAAUACGGCAUAUUAAAUACACAAAGGAAGGAAAAGUUGCUAAUUGCCCACGAAUAACAAGCUGUAACCACGUAGCUCACUUAAUUAGAAAAGAAUUUAAUCACAACAUGGAAGGCACGCUUUAAUUAUAGCAAGGCAUUGCACUGAGUGAUAAUGAGCAU